GAACACCUUUGGUAGAUGGU
rnacentral:piRNA from 1 species